UGGUGGAGCGAUUUGUCUGGUUUAUUCCGAUAACGAACGAGACUCCAACCUACUAACUAGAUCAUUGAGAUCAUUGCGUCUCCAGCACUUCUUAGAGGGACAAGCAGUGUUUAGCUGCAUGAGAAGGAGCAAUAACA
rnacentral:rRNA from 1 species